UAGGUACGUCAGAAUGUUUUAAGAUGUUCGUUAUAUGGAAAACAGAGAGACAGAGUGUGGUGGAACCAACCUCGCCACUGUGCAUUGGAGGAGCAUGGUUGCCCGCCUGCUCCCCUUACACUAUGGACAAGCAUUUAAAAACACAAUUUUCCCUGCAGGAAGGCUUAUUCGUGCCUUUCUGCCCAGGGUGUUCAGUAGAUUCAAUCUACCAAACAAACUAAGGACCACCAGGGACUUUCGGAUGUCUCCCAGAAGCGGCGUGUGCAGUCAACUGACCACGCAGUAGCUGCAGUUAACCGCAGCUUAGCUCAUUGUUACCGGGUGGUCGUGACUGCGCAUAACUAACACAGGGUGGCAGCAUUCUGUUCGGCCAGCGGUGUUCAGUCACAAAUUCAUGAAACUAAAAACGGACACUUAUACUCGCGAACAGCGCUGAGCCUCCAGUCUUCAC